GAGACCGGAAGAUAAGCUGCAUGAAGCCUCUUCACCUCCCUCUCAUAGGUUGCCUCAAUAUCUGCCUUCUCUUUGGCGAGUCGAUCAUACUUCCUCUUCCAAAACUUGGAAGACUGAGGAAGUAGAGAAGUCAAUGCGUCAUCAGGAUCAUCAAUAAUCUGGUGCUCAAGGAACUCUAUCAAAGCAUCCUUCUCUCUGAUCUACUGAAGCAACUCCU
rnacentral:lncRNA from 1 species